rnacentral:rRNA from 1 species
GCGUGCUUACACAUGCAAGUCGAACGGAAAGGCCCUGCUUUUGUGGGGUGCUCGAGUGGCGAACGGGUGAGUAACACGUGAGUAACCUGCCCUUGACUUUGGGAUAACUUCAGGAAACUGGGGCUAAUACCGGAUAGGAGCUCCUGCUGCAUGGUGGGGGUUGGAAAGUUUCGGCGGUUGGGGAUGGACUCGCGGCUUAUCAGCUUGUUGGUGGGGUAGUGGCUUACCAAGGCUUUGACGGGUAGCCGGCCUGAGAGGGUGACCGGCCACAUUGGGACUGAGAUACGGCCCAGACUCCUACGGGAGGCAGCAGUGGGGAAUAUUGCACAAUGGGCGGAAGCCUGAUGCAGCAACGCCGCGUGCGGGAUGACGGCCUUCGGGUUGUAAACCGCUUUCGCCUGUGACGAAGCGUGAGUGACGGUAAUGGGUAAAGAAGCACCGGCUAACUACGUGCCAGCAGCCGCGGUGAUACGUAGGGUGCGAACGUUGUCCGGAUUUAUUGGGCGUAAAGGGCUCGUAGGUGGUUGAUCGCGUCGGAAGUGUAAUCUUGGGGCUUAACCCUGAGCGUGCUUUCGAUACGGGUUGACUUGAGGAAGGUAGGGGAGAAUGGAAUUCCUGGUGGAGCGGUGGAAUGCGCAGAUAUCAGGAGGAACACCAGUGGCGAAGGCGGUUCUCUGGGCCUUUCCUGACGCUGAGGAGCGAAAGCGUGGGGAGCGAACAGGCUUAGAUACCCUGGUAGUCCACGCUGUAAACGGUGGGUACUAGGUGUGGGGUCCAUUCCACGGGUUCCGUGCCGUAGCUAACGCUUUAAGUACCCCGCCUGGGGAGUACGGCCGCAAGGCUAAAACUCAAAGGAAUUGACGGGGCCCCGCACAAGCGGCGGAGCAUGCGGAUUAAUUCGAUGCAACGCGUAGAACCUUACCUGGGUUUGACAUGGAUCGGGAGCGCUCAGAGAUGGGUGUGCCUCUUUUGGGGUCGGUUCACAGGUGGUGCAUGGCUGUCGUCAGCUCGUGUCGUGAGAUGUUGGGUUAAGUCCCGCAACGAGCGCAACCCUUGUUCACUGUUGCCAGCACGUUAUGGUGGGGACUCAGUGGAGACCGCCGGGGUCAACUCGGAGGAAGGUGGGGAUGACGUCAAGUCAUCAUGCCCCUUAUGUCCAGGGCUUCACGCAUGCUACAAUGGCUGGUACAGAGAGUGGCGAGCCUGUGAGGGUGAGCGAAUCUCGGAAAGCCGGUCUCAGUUCGGAUUGGGGUCUGCAACUCGACCUCAUGAAGUCGGAGUCGCUAGUAAUCGCAGAUCAGCAACGCUGCGGUGAAUACGUUCCCGGGGCUUGUACACACCGCCCGUCAAGUCAUGAAAGUUGGUAACACCCGAAGCCGGUGGCCUAACCGUUGUGGGGGAGCCGUCGAAGGUGGGACUGGUGAUUAGG